CUGAUGGGAAACAGGUCAAUAUUCCUGUACCGAUGUGUAGUGCGAUGUGGGGACGGAGAAGGUUAGCUCAGCCAACUGUUGGAUAUGUUGGUUCAAGCCUGUAGUCAUGCCUGGUAGGCAAAUCCGCCGGGCUAAGAUGAGGGGUGAUAAGGAGGCUGCUUGCAGCCGAACUGAGUGAUACCCUGCUUCCAGGAAAAGCCACUAAGCUUCAGCUACACACGACCGUACCGCAAACCGACACUGGUGCGCGAGAUGAGUAUUCUAAGGCGCUUGAGAGAACUCAGGAGAAGGAACUCGGCAAAUUGACACCGUAACUUCGGAAGAAGGUGUGCCCUAGUAGUGUGAUGAGAACAUCUGAGCACGAAAGGGUUGCAAAAAAUAGGUGGCUGCGACUGUUUAUUAAAAACACAGCACUCUGCAAACACGAAAGUGGACGUAUAGGGUGUGACGCCUGCCCGGUGCUGGAAGAUUAAUUGAUGGGGUGCAAGCUCUUGAUCGAAGUCCCAGUAAACGGCGGCCGUAACAAUAACGGUCCUAAGGUAGCGAAAUUCCUUGUCAGGUAAGUUCUGACCUGCACGAAUGGUGUAACGAUUUGGGCGCUGUCUCGGGGUGAAGCUCGGUGAAAUUGGAUUCCCGGUGAAGAUACCGGGUACCUACAGUAGGACGGAAAGACCCCGUGAACCUUUACUGUAACUUGACAUUGGGCUUUGAUAUAUUAUGUGUAGGAUAGGUGGGAGACUUUGAAGUAGGAAUGCUAGUUCUUAUGGAGUCAUCCUUGAAAUACCACCCUUAUUAUGUUGAGGUCCUAACGGGAAAAAUGAAUGUUUUUCUUGGACAUUGUCUGGCGGGCAGUUUGACUGGGGCGGUCGCCUCCUAAAGAGUAACGGAGGCGUACAAAGGUACCUUCAGCAUGUUUGGCAAUCAUGCGUAGAGUGUAAAAGCAAAAGGGUGCUUGACUGAGAGAGUGACAACUCGAACAGGGACGAAAGUCGGUUUUAGUGAUCCGGUGGUUCUGUGUGGAAGGGCCAUCGCUCAACGGAUAAAAGGUACUCUGGGGAUAACAGGCUGAUACCGCCCAAGAGUUCAUAUCGACGGCGGUGUUUGGCACCUCGAUGUCGGCUCAUCUCAUCCUGGGGCUGUAGCCGGUCCCAAGGGUAUGGCUGUUCGCCAUUUAAAGAGGUACGUGAGCUGGGUUUAAAACGUCGUGAGACAGUUUGGUCCCUAUCUUCCGUGGGCGCUGCAGAUUUGAGGAAGCCUGCUCCUAGUACGAGAGGACCGGAGUGGACGCACCUCUGGUGUACCGGUUGUCACGCCAGUGGCAUUGCCGGGUAGCUAAGUGCGGAAGAGAUAACCGCUGAAAGCAUCUAAGCGGGAAACUCGUUCCAAGAUGAGAUCUGCCGGGGCCUUGAGCCCCCGUACUCUGCGUUGAU
rnacentral:rRNA from 1 species